rnacentral:rRNA from 1 species
UACGGAGGGUGCAAGCGUUGCUCGGAAUUAUUGGGCGUAAAGGGUAGGUAGGUGGUCUCAUUUGUCUGGGGUGAAAGCCUUGAGCUUAACUCAAGAAGUGCCCCAGAAACGGUGAGACUAGAGUUCUGGAGAGGGUCGUGGAAUUCCCGGUGUAGCGGUGAAAUGCGUAGAGAUCGGGAGGAACACCAGAGGCGAAGGCGGGUCUCUGGACAGUUACUGACGCUGAGGCACGAAGGCCAGGGGAGCAAACGGG